AGCAGCCGCGGUAAUUCCAGCUCCAAUAGCGUAUAUUAAAGUUGUUGCAGUUAAAAAGCUCGUAGUUGAAUUUCGGGGUUUAUCCGUCGGUCGGGCUUUCGGGUUUGUACUGGCGUGAUGGAUUCCUACCUUCUGAAUAACCGGCAUGUCAUUAAUUUGGUGCGCCGGGGAAGCAGGACUGUUACCUUGAAAAAUUAGAGUGCUUAAAGCAGGCUUAUGCCUGAAUACAUUAGCAUGGAAUAAUGAAAUAGGACGGCAUGGUUCUAUUUUGUUGGUUUCUAGGAUCACCGUAAUGAUUAAUAGGGAUAGUUGGGGGCAUUAGUAUUCAAUUGUCAGAGGUGAAAUUCUUGGAUUUAUUGAAGACUAACUUCUGCGAAAGCAUUUGCCAAGGAUGUUUUCAUUAAUCAAGAACGAAAGUUAGGGGAUCGAAGACGAUCAGAUACCGUCGUA
rnacentral:rRNA from 1 species